UGACCGGACGUGAUUUGAACACCCAGCCUUCAGAUCUGGAGUCAGAGCGCUUACGAAUUGCGCCACUGAGUC